rnacentral:lncRNA from 1 species
GGGCUGGGCUGCCGCACGAGUGGCCUGCCGGGUGCGGGGGAAAAUGUUCGAGCGCGAGCCCCCGCGGGGCCAAUGGGGAGACGGAGGGCAGAAACGGGGGCCGUUGGAGCCAGCCUAAGCUUGGGUGUAAGCUCUGUCACUCAGAGCUCGGGACUAGGCGCUUUUGGGUGCAAAACGAGUGGCCCACACAACUCCCUGGCUAGAAGAGGCCCGAGUCUGGGAGGGGAGAGAUUUGGAGAAACCGAAUCUCAACUCCAUGAAGUCAGUGACGUGUCUCUUCUCUGCUGUACUCCGGGUGCCUGAAAUGUGCCUGGCAGGAAACUUUCAUUUUGGCCACAUAUGUACCUGUGUGCAGGCAUGUGUGCUUCUGUGAGCAUGCCCUGGAUCUCAAUGCCAAGGAUUUAUGGGAACCAGGGAAGGUCUUCCCACUUGGCUGUAUUAACUACAGGAGGAUCGACCUUCAUGUGAGCACAGCCUGUCCCACCAAACUGGGGCCACAGGUGCCUACUCCAGGAAGCUAAAGAUGGUGGUUUGAGAGCACAGACCCUGGGCUCAGUCAUGGAUCAAAGCUCUGAUUCUCAUCAGCUGCAUAACCCCUUGGAACCUUCUGUGGCCUCUCUGAGCCUCGUGUCUUCAUCUGGAAAGGAGUCAGCUGCAAUGAUACCUGUCUUUGGGACUGCUGAGUGGUUAAGCAAACGAAAGAACUAAAGCAUUAGAAUGAUGACAAAGAAAGAAGAAAAAAAUUCAGGAUGUGGCAUGUGUGGACAAUCCAGGCAUAGAUGGCCAUUGUUCUAGGAGGACACGUCGGGAAUGAACCAAGGGGACUAUUUCCUUUUGCCACCAGGCGCGAGCCCAGGGUGAAGGGGGAUCUUCUAAAGGACCCAGCCCUACACUGCCGACUCCAGGACCCAAGCCCACAAUGCAGUAUGAUCCUGUUUAAAGAACCACCACAGGAAGCCCAAUUCUGACUUAACCAGAAAACUGAACACAGAGAGCAGACCACAGUCCUACGGCUCUUAGGAAGAGAGAGACAUCUGCUGUCCAAGAUUAAGGUGUUUGUAAGCUGUUUGCACAGCCUGGGAAGACAUGAGGCUGGGCACCGGCUGGGGAAGGCUUGGGACAGCAGCCCUCCUGGCCUGAAGUUAAACUUUGGCUAUGAGGAGAUGAGUCUGGCAGGUGCACAGGGAGUUCCCCCUCCAGACGGGGUGGCGAGGACCCAAGAGAAGAGAGGAGAGAAAGGUGGGAGGGUAGGACUAUCUGGGCCUUAUCUUCUUCCUGGGACUUUCUAAGAAGUGGGGGGGACCUGGGAUUUUCUGAGAUUUUUCAAGGAUAUGGAGGACCCUGGAGGCUUGGGAUGCAAACUGUCAUAAGCCAGGCUUUCAGCUUCCUGUGACUCGCUCUGUUCCCUGUUCAUGAUUUAACAUCCUUUGUAAAGCCUUGUACGCAUGGUUCAGCUGACUUACAGCUUGGGAGGUUUUGUGUAUGUGUGUUGCAGGGGUCGGAAUUUGUUUUCCAAGAGUUCCCAGAACCUCACUUUUCCAGCAUGCCAUCAGUGGUACCAGACAAGAGAUUCACAAGGAAAAAGAAAAUUUCAACAGAGCAACAACUGUCAAGUUUCCAGGGCAAUCUCCACCUUCAUAGCCUUUGCUAUCAUGCAGAACCCGUGCCCAGAAACCUGGCCUUGACUGUGACCACAGCAUACACCAAAGGCACACAGGCACGCUGCCGUCAGGGAAAUGAAGACAGUGCAGUGUGGGGAGGUGUGCAUGAUUGAAGGCAGCUUCCCACAGCUGUGAGCCAGGUAACAAGCUCAGUGAAGGCGUUGUCACGCUUUCAAACGCCUGAAAAGAGGAGCAAAGAGACAACAGAGGAAGAUGUUUUUGGUGUGAUCAAAGGGCAGUCGGAUCACCCCAGGGAGGGAAGUGGUUGGCGUGCCGUGCAUGUGUGGAGGGAAGUGACAGGUGCAAAUACAGGAGGGCACCACACAUUUCCUUACCACCCAGAAACCCAUUAAGCAGGAGGCAGCUGGCCAGGGAGUCAGAGGGCUGAAUAGCCCACUGACCUCCAAAAAUUAGCCUCCUUCCAUUUCCAACUCUUAAGGUUCUAUUUGCUUGGCUUAGUUUAUAUCUAGGGAAUCUCCAAGACUCUUUCAAGAAGAGACUUUUGCAUCCCUGUUAUCUAGAAAAAGGGUGAUGUUUUCUGUCCACUCUCCCUGAAAUGCCAUCUCAGACAUUAAGUUAACUGUAGCAAAGGAACUUUCUAAAUCCUUAUCAAAGGACUAUGGUCACCUGAAUGAAACUGUCUGGGCAUUCAGGAGCAAAUGACACAUGUAGUCUUCGGAAAUUGUUUUGCAAGGAAUACAGGUUUAUAUUAAAGCUCUGAAGCAAGUACAAUAAACGCUCCACAUCAUCUUAGAGAAUGCUUGCAAGGAUGCAUUUCAUUGACAUAUUUAGAGCAAAUUAGUCUAUUUGACAUUGUUUCUCCAAAUUGCAUCAUAUCAUUGCUUCAUUAAGAAUGCUCCAAUUAAGGGAAAGAAAGAAGUUUCUGUAGGGUAGCUAUCUGUACACAUUAGUCUGAGGCUUUCAAAUUAGAGACCAAAUCACAGGUCCCCGUUACCAUGAGAACCAGAGUGUUUCUCCGGCUGUUAAAAUUAUUAACUCGAAGAACAUGCAUCUUCUUAAACUCUGCCUGUUAUUUAUCUACUGUUCCAUGGGCUUGACUGUGCCUAGAGUGAACUCUAUUAAUCAUCAGCUGAAAAAAAGUGCACGGGCUGCAGGAGAGAGCAGCCGUGCCUUUCUUCCUGUCGAGAGCGGCAAGCAAUGGCAAUCCAUUUCCCCAUGUUGCUCCAUCUCUCUUGGAGGAUAGAAGCGAGGGACUGAGAAGCCCUGGAGUGAAGACAGGCUGGAGAAGCCCGAGAUGAUGCCCAGAGAUGAGCAAGACCAGCUGGCAGUGGCGUUCACACGGUGUGCCACUGCAGGGACAGGCGACACUGAUGAGUGACCAGAGGCCUCUGUCCACUUGCCAGGUGACCCUGAGCUCCGGUCCAACUCCCCAUCUAAAAGUGAAGCCUCGUCACAGUGAAGGCCUAGUCACUUACACUGCAGAGAAUGC